AACAACUCACCUGCCGAAUGAAUUAGCCCUGAAAAUGGAUGGCGCUGAAGCGGGCAGCCGACACCGCGCCGUUCGGGCGAGACGAUGCCCGGAUGAGUAGGAGGGCGUGGCGGUCAGUGACGCAGGCGUGGGUGCAGACCCCGCUGAAACGGCCGCUAGUGCAGAUCUUGGUGGUAGUAGCAAAUAUUCAAGCGAGAUCCUUGAAGGGCGAAGCGGGGAAGGGUUCCACGCGAACAUUGAUUGGGCGUGGGUGAGUCGUUCCUAAGCCGAGUGGCAAUAGCUAAGUAGCGGCGAAAGGGAAGCGGGUUAAAAUUCCCGCACACGGAUAUGGAGGCGGCGACGCAAGCAGAGGCGAAGACGCUGGCGAGGGCGCUGGGCAGAGUUGUCUUUUCUGUUUGACCGGCAUCGCGCAGUGUGGAAACCGCUUAUCGGGAGAAACACGCGCGGGGAGGGGCAGAGCGCCGGACUUUACCCGGCGUCCGGCUCGCCCUCGACGGCCCCUGAAAAUUUGCCCGCGAAAUACUUUUAUAUAAUUUCAUGCUGUGACGUACCGAUAACCGCAUCAGGUCCCCAAGGUGAACAGCCUCUGCUCGAUAUGAACAAU
rnacentral:rRNA from 1 species